rnacentral:rRNA from 2 species
CAGGUGGUGCAUGGUUGUCGUCAGCUCGUGUCGUGAGAUGUUGGGUUAAGUCCCGCAACGAGCGCAACCCUUGAUCUUAGUUGCCAGCAUUCAGUUGGGCACUCUAAGGUGACUGCCGGUGACAAACCGGAGGAAGGUGGGGAUGACGUCAAAUCAUCAUGCCCCUUAUGACCUGGGCUACACACGUGCUACAAUGGACAGAACAAAGGGCAGCGAAACCGCGAGGUUAAGCCAAUCCCACAAAUCUGUUCUCAGUUCGGAUCGCAGUCUGCAACUCGACUGCGUGAAGCUGGAAUCGCUAGUAAUCGCGGAUCAGCAUGCCGCGGUGAAUACGUUCCCGGGCCUUGUACACACCGCCCGUCACACCACGAGAGUUUGUAACACCCGAAGUCGGUGAGGUAACCUUUUAGGAGCCAGCCGCCGAAUGUUGGACA